GGCCGUGGCUCAGUGGUAGAGCACUUGCCUUGCAUGCAUAAGGCUCUGGGUUCAAUUUUCAGCACCACCA
rnacentral:tRNA from 1 species